rnacentral:rRNA from 1 species
AUUGAACGCUGGCGGAAUGCUUUACACAUGCAAGUCGAACGGCAGCACGGCCUUCGGUCUGGUGGCGAGUGGCGAACGGGUGAGUAAUGUAUCGGAACGUGCCCAGUCGUGGGGGAUAACGUAGUGAAAAUUACGCUAAUACCGCAUACGAUCUAUGGAUGAAAGCGGGGGUGCGCAAGACCUCGCGCGAUUGGACCUGCGGCAAUCUGAUUAGGUAGAUGGGGGGGUAAAGGCCCACCAAGCCAACGAUCUGUAGCUGGUCUGAGAGGACGACCAGCCACACUGGAACUGAGACACGGUCCAGACUCCUACGGGAGGCAGCGGUGGGGAAUUUUGGACAAUGGGCGGAAGCCUGAUCCAGCCAUUCCGCGUGCAGGAUGAAGGCCCUCGGGUUGUAAACUGCUUUUGUACAGAACGAAAAGGUUUCUACUAAUACUAGGAGCUCAUGACGGUACUGUAAGAAUAAGCACCGGCUAACUACGUGCCAGCCGCCGCCGUAA